CUACGGGCGGCACCAGUCGAGAAUCUUCCGCAAUGGACGAAAGUCUGACGGAGCGACGCCGCGUGAUCGAUGAAGUCUUUAGGGAUGUAAAGAUCUUUUCUGAAGGAGGAAGUUUAUUGACGUUACUUCAGGAAUAAGGGGUUGCUAAACUCGUGCCAGCAGCAGCGGUAAUACGAGUGCCCCAAGCGUUAUCCGGAAUUAUUGGGCGUAAAGGGUCUGCAGGCGGCCAUAUUAGUCUUUUGUUAAAAAUCCCGGCUCAACUGGGAAGAGGCAAAAGAAACGGUAUGGCUAGAGAGUGUGAGGGGUGUAUGGAACUCAUGGUGUAGGGGUGAAAUCCGUUGAUAUCAUGGGGAACACCGAAAGCGAAGGCAGUACACUGGCACAUUUCUGACGCUGAGGGACGAAAGCAUGGGUAGCGAAUGGGAUUAGAUACCCCAGUAGUC
rnacentral:rRNA from 1 species